GACGUAGGGCGCGAGCGUUGUCCGGAUUUAUUGGGCGUAAAGAGCUCGUAGGCGGCUUGUUGCGUCGACCGUGAAAACCCGCGGCUUAACUGCGGGCUUGCGGUUGAUACGGGCGGGCUGGAGUUCGGUAGGGGAGACUGGAAUUCAUGGUGUAGCAGUGAAAUGCGUAGAGAUCAUGAGGAAGACCAGUGGCGAAGGCGGGUCUCUGGACAGUUCCUGACGCUGAGGCACGAAGGCCAGGGGAGCAAACGGG
rnacentral:rRNA from 1 species